rnacentral:rRNA from 1 species
GACGAACGCUGGCGGCGCGCUUAACACAUGCAAGUCGAGCGAAGCGGCGGACGGGUGAGUAACACGCGAGUAACCUGCCUUUUACACAGGGAUAGUCUCGGGAAACCGUGAUUAAAACCUGAAGGUAAAAGAUGGACUCGCGUCCCAUUAGCCAGUCGGUGAGGUAACGGCCCACCAAGGCAACGAUGGGUAGCCGGCCGUGGAGGGGUAACGGCCACAUUGGAACUGGGAAACGGUCCAAACUCUACGGAAGGAAGCAGUGGGGAAUAUUGCACAAUGGGGGAAACCCGGAUGCAGCGACGCCGCGUGAGCGAAGAAGGCCUUCGGGUCGUAAAGCUCUUUUAUAUGGGAAGCGGUACCAUAAGAAAAAGCCCCGGCUAACUACGUGCCAGCAGCCGCGGUAAUUC